rnacentral:rRNA from 1 species
AGUGAACGCUGGCGGUAGGCCUAACACAUGCAAGUCGAACGGCAGCACAGGAGAGCUUGCUCUCUGGGUGGCGAGUGGCGGACGGGUGGGGAAUACAUCGGAAUCUACUCUGUCGUGGGGGAUAACGUAGGGAAACUUACGCUAAUACCGCAUACGACCUACGGGUGAAAGCAGGGGACCUUCGGGCCUUGCGCGAUUGAAUGAGCCGAUGUCGGAUUAGCUAGUUGGCGGGGUAAAGGCCCACCAAGGCGACGAUCCGUAGCUGGUCUGAGAGGAUGAUCAGCCACACUGGAACUGAGACACGGUCCAGACUCCUACGGGAGGCAGCAGUGGGGAAUAUUGGACAAUGGGCGCAAGCCUGAUCCAGCCAUACCGCGUGGGUGAAGAAGGCCUUCGGGUUGUAAAGCCCUUUUGUUGGGAAAGAAAUCCAGCUGGCUAAUACCCGGUUGGGAUGACGGUACCCAAAGAAUAAGCACCGGCUAACUUCGUGCCAGCAGCCGCAGAA